CAGCCGCCACGGUAAAACGGAGGGGGCUAGCGUUGUUCGGAAUUACUGGGCGUAAAGCGCACGUAGGCGGCUCAGCAAGUCCGCUCUGAAAGCCCAGGGCUCAACCCUGGGAUGCGGGUGGAUACUGCUGAGCUCGAGUCCGGAAGAGGCGAGUGGAAUUCCUGGUGUAGCGGUGAAAUGCGCAGAUAUCAGGAGGAACACCGAUGGCGAAGGCAGCUCGCUGGGACGUGACUGACGCUGAGACGCGAAAGCAUGGGGAGCGAACAGGAUUAGAUACCCGAGUAGUCCCUGUCUCUUAUAC
rnacentral:rRNA from 1 species